GUGGGGAAUCUUCCGCAAUGGACGAAAGUCUGACGGAGCAACGCCGCGUGAGUGAAGAAGGUUUUCGGAUCGUAAAGCUCUUCCGUUAGGGACGAACGUGCUCUUUGUGAAUAAUGAGGAGUAAUGACGGUACCUAAAUAAGAAGCCACGGCUAACUACGUGCCAGCAGCCGCGGUAAUACGUAGGUGGCAAGCGUUGUCCGGAAUUAUUGGGCGUAAAGCGCGCGCAGGCGGGAUAUCAAGUCUGUCUUAAAAGUGCGAGGCUCAACCUCGUGAGGGGACAGAAACUGGUAUUCUUGAGUGUCGGAGAGGAAAGUGGAAUUCCAAGUGUAGCGGUGAAAUGCGUAGAGAUUUGGAAGAACACCAGUGGCGAAGGCGACUUUCUGGACGAUGUCUGACGCUGAGGCGCGAAAGCUAGGGGAGCGAACGGGAUUAGAUACCCGUGUAGUCC
rnacentral:rRNA from 1 species